AUCCGUUGGACCACACCCCAAACCGAGACCUAUAGGGUGUCUAAAUCACGUCUCUCAUACCUCCAGCUGAGGGUGCUGGAGGAAUAGUAAAACCA
rnacentral:ncRNA from 1 species